AGAGUUUGAUCCUGGCUCAGGAUGAACGCUGGCGGCGUGCUUAACACAUGCAAGUCGAACGAACCUUCGGGUUAGUGGCGGACGGGUGAGUAACGCGUGAGAAUCUGCCCUCAGGAGGGGGAUAACAGUUGGAAGCGACUGCUAAUACCCCAUAUGCCGAGAGGUGAAAUGAAUUUCGCCUGGGGAUGAGCUCGCGUCUGAUUAGCUUGUUGGUGGGGUAAUAGCCUACCAAGGCUUCGAUCAGUAGCUGGUCUGAGAGGACGAUCAGCCACACUGGGACUGAGACACGGCCCAGACUCCUACGGGAGGCAGCAGUGGGGAAUUUUCCGCAAUGGGCGAAAGCCUGACGGAGCAACGCCGCGUGAGGGAUGGAGGCCUUUGGGCUGUAAACCUCUUUUCUCAAGGAAGAAGAUCUGACGGUACUUGAGGAAUAAGCCACGGCUAAUUCCGUGCCAGCAGCCGCGGUAAUACGGGAGUGGCAAGCGUUAUCCGGAAUUAUUGGGCGUAAAGCGUCCGCAGGCGGCCGUUUAAGUCUGUUGUUAAAUCGUGGAGCUCAACUCCAUCACGGCAAUGGAAACUGUUCGGCUUGAGUAUGGUAGGGGCAGAGGGAAUUUCCGGUGUAGCGGUGAAAUGCGUAGAUAUCGGGAAGAACACCAGUGGCGAAAGCGCUCUGCUGGGCCAUUACUGACGCUCAUGGACGAAAGCCAGGGGAGCGAAAGGGAUUAGAUACCCCUGUAGUCCUGGCCGUAAACGAUGAACACUAGAUGUUGGGGGAAUCGACCCCCUCGGUGUCGUAGCUAACGCGUUAAGUGUUCCGCCUGGGGAGUACGCACGCAAGUGUGAAACUCAAAGGAAUUGACGGGGGCCCGCACAAGCGGUGGAGUAUGUGGUUUAAUUCGAUGCAACGCGAAGAACCUUACCAAGGCUUGACAUCCUGCGAAUCUCUAAGAAAUUAGAGAGUGCCUUCGGGAACGCAGUGACAGGUGGUGCAUGGCUGUCGUCAGCUCGUGUCGUGAGAUGUUGGGUUAAGUCCCGCAACGAGCGCAACCCACGUUUUUAGUUGCCAGCAUUCAGUUGGGCACUCUAGAAAGACUGCCGGUGACAAACCGGAGGAAGGUGUGGACGACGUCAAGUCAUCAUGCCCCUUACGCCUUGGGCUACACACGUACUACAAUGCUGCGGACAAAGAGUAGCGAUCUUGCGAAAGUUAGCUAAUCUCACAAACCGUGGCUCAGUUCAGAUCGUAGGCUGCAACUCGCCUACGUGAAGGAGGAAUCGCUAGUAAUCGCAGGUCAGCAUACUGCGGUGAAUACGUUCCCGGGCCUUGUACACACCGCCCGUCACACCAUGGAAGUUGGCCAUGCCCGAAGUCGUUACUCUAACCUUUUGGAAGAGGGCGCCGAAGGCAGGGCUAAUGACUGGGGUGAAGUCGUAACAAGGUAACC
rnacentral:rRNA from 1 species